rnacentral:rRNA from 1 species
GUAGGUGGCAAGCGUUGUCCGGAAUUAUUGGGCGUAAAGCGCGCGCAGGGCGGUCCUUUAAGUCUGAUGUGAAAGCCCACGGCUCAACCGUGGAGGGUCAUUGGAAACUGGGGGACUUGAGUACAGAAGAGGAAAGCGGAAUUCCAAGUGUAGCGGUGAAAUGCGUAGAGAUUUGGAGGAACACCAGUGGCGAAGGCGGCUUUCUGGUCUGUAACUGACGCUGAGGCGCGAAAGCGUGGGGAGCAAACAGGAUUAGAUACCCUGGUAGUCCACGCCGUAAACGAUGAGUGCUAAGUGUUAGGGGGUUUCCGCCCCUUAGUGCUGCAGCUAACGCAUUAAGCACUCCGCCUGGGGAGUACGACCGCAAGGCUG